UCUUUACGGCCAGAUUAAGGUCUGUUUUUUCUUUAGAGAAAACAGUUAAAAGGGAAUCAGGUGUAAAUCCUGAACAGACCCGCUACUGUAAGUUCUGUAAAAGUCUUUAACGUUACUCAUGCCAUUGUCCCGCUUUGCGGGAUGAGAAGGCAGUUUAAAGAUGGAACAAGUCAGGAGACCUGCCGGAAUCACAUAGUUUAA
rnacentral:ncRNA from 2 species